CCUACGGGAGGCAGCAGUGGGGAAUUUUGGACAAUGGGCGCAAGCCUGAUCCAGCAAUGCCGCGUGAGUGAAGAAGGCCUUCGGGUUGUAAAGCUCUUUUGCCAGGGAAGAAAAGGUUACGAAUAAUACUCGUGGCUCAUGACGGUACCUGAAGAAUAAGCACCGGCUAACUACGUGCCAGCAGCCGCGGUAAUACGUAGGGUGCAAGCGUUAAUCGGAAUUACUGGGCGUAAAGCGUGCGCAGGCGGUUUUGUAAGUCUGUUGUGGAAUCCCCGGGCUCAACCUGGGAAUGGCAAUGGAGACUGCAAGGCUAGAGUUUGGCAGAGGGGGGUAGAAUUCCACGUGUAGCAGUGAAAUGCGUAGAUAUGUGGAGGAACACCGAUGGCGAAGGCAGCCCCCUGGGUCAAAACUGACGCUCAUGCACGAAAGCGUGGGGAGCAAACAGGAUUAGAUACCCUGGUAGUCCACGCCCUAAACGAUGUCUACUAGUUGUCGGGUCUUAAUUGACUUGGUAACGCAGCUAACGCGUGAAGUAGACCGCCUGGGGAGUACGGUCGCAAGAUUAAAACUCAAAGGAAUUGACGG
rnacentral:rRNA from 1 species